rnacentral:rRNA from 1 species
UACGGAGGGUGCAAGCGUUAAUCGGAAUUACUGGGCGUAAAGCGUGCGUAGGCGGCUCGUUAAGUCAGAUGUGAAAGCCCUGGGCUCAACCUGGGAACUGCAUUUGAAACUGGCGAGCUAGAGUUUGAGAGAGGUAAGUGGAAUUUCAGGUGUAGCGGUGAAAUGCGUAGAGAUCUGAAGGAACACCAGUGGCGAAGGCGACUUACUGGCUUAAAACUGACGCUGAGGUACGAAAGCGUGGGUAGCAAACAGGAUUAGAUACCCUGGUAGUCCACGCCGUAAACGAUGUCAACUAGCCGUUGGCUCUCUUCGAGAGUUAGUGGCGCAGCUAACGCAUUAAGUUGGGCGGGUGGGGGGGGGUGCCGCAAGGUUA